rnacentral:rRNA from 1 species
CCUACGGGUGGCAGCAGUGAGGAAUAUUGGUCAAUGGACGCAAGUCUGAACCAGCCAAGUAGCGUGAAGGAUGACUGCCCUACGGGUUGUAAACUUCUUUUAUAAAGGAAUAAAGUGAGGCACGUGUGCCUUUUUGUAUGUACUUUAUGAAUAAGGAUCGGCUAACUCCGUGCCAGCAGCCGCGGUAAUACGGAGGAUCCGAGCGUUAUCCGGGAUUAUUGGGUUUAAAGGGAGCGUAGAUGGGUUGUUAAGUCAGUUAUGAAAGUUUGCGGCUCAACCGUAAAAUUGCAAUUGAUACUGGCAGCCUUGAGUACAGUUGAGGUAGGCGGAAUUCGAGGUGUAGCGGUGAAAUGCUUAGAUAUAACGAAGAACUCCGAUUGCGAAGGCAGCCUACUAAGCUGCCACUGACAUUGAUGCUCGAAAGUGUGGGUAUCAAACAGGAUGAGAUACCCCGGUAGUC